rnacentral:rRNA from 1 species
CGUGGGCGUCCUAUAAUGCAGUCGAGCGGACAGAAGGGAGCUUGCUCCCGGAUGUUAGCGGCGGACGGGUGAGUAACACGUGGGUAACCUGCCUGUAAGACUGGGAUAACUCCGGGAAACCGGAGCUAAUACCGGAUAGUUCCUUGAACCGCAUGGUUCAAGGAUGAAAGACGGUUUCGGCUGUCACUUACAGAUGGACCCGCGGCGCAUUAGCUAGUUGGUGAGGUAACGGCUCACCAAGGCGACGAUGCGUAGCCGACCUGAGAGGGUGAUCGGCCACACUGGGACUGAGACACGGCCCAGACUCCUACGGGAGGCAGCAGUAGGGAAUCUUCCGCAAUGGACGAAAGUCUGACGGAGCAACGCCGCGUGAGUGAUGAAGGUUUUCGGAUCGUAAAGCUCUGUUGUUAGGGAAGAACAAGUGCAAGAGUAACUGCUUGCACCUUGACGGUACCUAACCAGAAAGCCACGGCUAACUACGUGCCAGCAGCCGCGGUAAUACGUAGGUGGCAAGCGUUGUCCGGAAUUAUUGGGCGUAAAGGGCUCGCAGGCGGUUUCUUAAGUCUGAUGUGAAAGCCCCCGGCUCAACCGGGGAGGGUCAUUGGAAACUGGGAAACUUGAGUGCAGAAGAGGAGAGUGGAAUUCCACGUGUAGCGGUGAAAUGCGUAGAGAUGUGGAGGAACACCAGUGGCGAAGGCGACUCUCUGGUCUGUAACUGACGCUGAGGAGCGAAAGCGUGGGGAGCGAACAGGAUUAGAUACCCUGGUAGUCCACGCCGUAAACGAUGAGUGCUAAGUGUUAGGGGGUUUCCGCCCCUUAGUGCUGCAGCUAACGCAUUAAGCACUCCGCCUGGGGAGUACGGUCGCAAGACUGAAACUCAAAGGAAUUGACGGGGGGCCCGCACAAGCGGUGGAGCAUGU